rnacentral:rRNA from 1 species
UACGAGAGGGGCGAGCGUUUAUUCGGAAUGAUUGGGCGUAAAAGAGCACGUAGGCUGUUUAGAAAAUCACAGAUAAAAAAAUCAAAGCUUAACUUUGAAAAUUACCUGUACAAAAUAUAUUUUUUAAAUAUAUUAAAGAUUCCUAAACUAGAGUAAGUAAAAGGAGAAUGGAAUUCCUGAUGUAGAGGUAAAAUUUGUUGAUAUCAGGAGGAACAUCAAAAGCGAAGGCAAUUCUCUAGUACUUAACUGACGUUGGAGUGCGACAGCGUGGGGAUCAAAAGGG